rnacentral:rRNA from 1 species
UACGAAGGGUGCAAGCGUUACUCGGAAUUACUGGGCGUAAAGCGUGAGUAGGUGGUUUCUUAAGUUUGCUGUGAAAGCCCCGGGCUCAACCUGGGAAUUGCAGUGGAUACUGGGAAGCUAGAGUGCGGUAGAGGGUAGUGGAAUUCCCGGUGUAGCGGUGAAAUGCGUAGAGAUCGGGAGGAACACCAGUGGCGAAGGCGGCUACCUGGACCAGCACUGACACUGAGUCACGAAAGCGUGGGGAGCAAACAGG